UACAGAGGGUGCGAGCGUUGUCCGGAAUCACUGGGCGUAAAGGGCGCGUAGGUGGCGACCCAAGUCGAUGGUGAAAGCUCGCCGCUCAACGGCGAGUCGGCCACCCGAUACUGGGUUGCUCGAGCACUGUAGAGGCUAAUGGAAUUCCGGGUGUAGCGGUGGAAUGCGUAGAGAUCCGGAAGAACACCGGUGGCGAAGGCGGUUAGCUGGGCAGUUGCUGACACUGAGGCGCGACAGCGUGGGGAGCAAACAGG
rnacentral:rRNA from 1 species